UAGUUCCAAAAAUGUUUAUUUUUAGAGAUUUGAAAACCACUGAACCAUCCAGAAUAAUUACAGUUCUUUACAUUUGAACUUAAUCACAUUUAGUAUUUGCAGAAACUCGUUUUGCUAAUAUUACAGCUGUAAGUUUGUUGGGAGGAUUUCUCUAUAUUUUCCAUUUCUUGCCAAAUUUCCCAGUUGGAUUCAGGAAAUGACUUGAAAACUCAGAGCGCAACUUCCUUCUUCAAGAAACGUAACCAAACGUGGCGUAGCGUCAGAUUUUAGCGUUUGUAGGAUUUCUGGUUUGUCUUUGGUAAAAGACCAGCUGGACCGCCAUGUUUGUUUUGGUUGUAUUUACCCAGAAUGCCCUGCGCUGCUCUUCGCUUCCUGCUUUUGGAGCGGCUGGUAGGCGGACCAGAACUCCCUAAACGAACCGGACUCUCCAGGCAAAUGAACUACAGCUUAAAGCUGAACAGGGCUGGUGUGAACGCACCCUUAACUCCACUAUAAGUUCUCAGGACAGCUGAUGGAGCGUUCAGGAGACGUGUUGGUUAGAGGAACGGGGGACCAGUCUGAGGUCGGCACAUGCCUGACCUGACAUGCAGAGGAAGACUGAUGUUGACAUCCGACCUCAAUGAAACAUAAGAACUGAAAAGAACUUCACUGGAAGCAAGAUGGAGGCAGGACGGAUCGACGUUCUCAGCAGCAGCAGCCUGUUCCGAACAAGGCGGGGACAGCGUGAACCG